ensembl:misc_RNA Metazoa_SRP Metazoan signal recognition particle RNA
GCCAGGCAUAGUGGCACAUACCUGUGGUUCUGGCUACUUGGGAGGCUGAGGUGGGAGGCUUGCUUGAGCCCAGGAGGUCGAGGCUGCAGUGAGCUAUGACUAUGCCACUGCACUCCAGCCUGGGCAACAGAGCAAGACCCCAUCUCAA